UUAAGUUAUUAAGGGCGCACGGUGGAUGCCUUGGCACUAGAAGCCGAUGAAGGACGUUACUAACGACGAUAUGCUUUGGGGAGCUGUAAGUAAGCUUUGAUCCAGAGAUUUCCGAAUGGGGAAACCCAGCAUGAGUUAUGUCAUGUUAUCGAUAUGUGAAUACAUAGCAUAUCAGAAGGCACACCCGGAGAACUGAAACAUCUUAGUACCCGGAGGAAGAAAAAGAAAAUUCGAUUCCCUUAGUAGCGGCGAGCGAAACGGGAAGAGCCCAAACCAACAAGCUUGCUUGUUGGGGUUGUAGGACACUCUAUACGGAGUUACAAAGGACGACAUUAGACGAAUCAUCUGGAAAGAUGAAUCAAAGAAGGUAAUAAUCCUGUAGUCGAAAAUGUUGUCUCUCUUGAGUGGAUCCUGAGUACGACGGAACACGUGAAAUUCCGUCGGAAUCUGGGAGGACCAUCUCCUAAGGCUAAAUAUUCUCUAGUGACCGAUAGUGAACCAGUACCGUGAGGGAAAGGUGAAAAGCACCCCGGAAGGGGAGUGAAAUAGAACCUGAAACCGUGUGCUUACAAGUAGUCAGAGCCCGUUAAUGGGUGAUGGCGUGCCUUUUGUAGAAUGAACCGGCGAGUUACGAUUUGAUGCAAGGUUAAGCAGUAAAUGUGGAGCCGUAGCGAAAGCGAGUCUGAAUAGGGCGUUUAGUAUUUGGUCGUAGACCCGAAACCAGGUGAUCUACCCUUGGUCAGGUUGAAGUUCAGGUAACACUGAAUGGAGGACCGAACCGACUUACGUUGAAAAGUGAGCGGAUGAACUGAGGGUAGCGGAGAAAUUCCAAUCGAACCUGGAGAUAGCUGGUUCUCUCCGAAAUAGCUUUAGGGCUAGCCUCAAGUGAUGAUUAUUGGAGGUAGAGCACUGUUUGGACGAGGGGCCCCUCUCGGGUUACCGAAUUCAGACAAACUCCGAAUGCCAAUUAAUUUAACUUGGGAGUCAGAACAUGGGUGAUAAGGUCCGUGUUCGAAAGGGAAACAGCCCAGACCACCAGCUAAGGUCCCAAAAUAUAUGUUAAGUGGAAAAGGAUGUGGCGUUGCCCAGACAACUAGGAUGUUGGCUUAGAAGCAGCCAUCAUUUAAAGAGUGCGUAAUAGCUCACUAGUCGAGUGACACUGCGCCGAAAAUGUACCGGGGCUAAACAUAUUACCGAAGCUGUGGAUUGUCCUUUGGACAAUGGUAGGAGAGCGUUCUAAGGGCGUUGAAGCAUGAUCGUAAGGACAUGUGGAGCGCUUAGAAGUGAGAAUGCCGGUGUGAGUAGCGAAAGACGGGUGAGAAUCCCGUCCACCGAUUGACUAAGGUUUCCAGAGGAAGGCUCGUCCGCUCUGGGUUAGUCGGGUCCUAAGCUGAGGCCGACAGGCGUAGGCGAUGGAUAACAGGUUGAUAUUCCUGUACCACCUAUAAUCGUUUUAAUCGAUGGGGGGACGCAGUAGGAUAGGCGAAGCGUGCGAUUGGAUUGCACGUCUAAGCAGUAAGGCUGAGUAUUAGGCAAAUCCGGUACUCGUUAAGGCUGAGCUGUGAUGGGGAGAAGACAUUGAGUCUUCGAGUCGUUGAUUUCACACUGCCGAGAAAAGCCUCUAGAUAGAAAAUAGGUGCCCGUACCGCAAACCGACACAGGUAGUCAAGAUGAGAAUUCUAAGGUGAGCGAGCGAACUCUCGUUAAGGAACUCGGCAAAAUGACCCCGUAACUUCGGGAGAAGGGGUGCUCUUUAGGGUUAACGCCCAGAAGAGCCGCAGUGAAUAGGCCCAAGCGACUGUUUAUCAAAAACACAGGUCUCUGCUAAACCGUAAGGUGAUGUAUAGGGGCUGACGCCUGCCCGGUGCUGGAAGGUUAAGAGGAGUGGUUAGCUUCUGCGAAGCUACGAAUCGAAGCCCCAGUAAACGGCGGCCGUAACUAUAACGGUCCUAAGGUAGCGAAAUUCCUUGUCGGGUAAGUUCCGACCCGCACGAAAGGCGUAACGAUUUGGGCACUGUCUCAACGAGAGACUCGGUGAAAUCAUAGUACCUGUGAAGAUGCAGGUUACCCGCGACAGGACGGAAAGACCCCGUGGAGCUUUACUGUAGCCUGAUAUUGAAAUUCGGCACAGCUUGUACAGGAUAGGUAGGAGCCUUUGAAACGUGAGCGCUAGCUUACGUGGAGGCGCUGGUGGGAUACUACCCUAGCUGUGUUGGCUUUCUAACCCGCACCACUUAUCGUGGUGGGAGACAGUGUCAGGCGGGCAGUUUGACUGGGGCGGUCGCCUCCUAAAAGGUAACGGAGGCGCUCAAAGGUUCCCUCAGAAUGGUUGGAAAUCAUUCAUAGAGUGUAAAGGCAUAAGGGAGCUUGACUGCGAGACCUACAAGUCGAGCAGGGUCGAAAGACGGACUUAGUGAUCCGGUGGUUCCGCAUGGAAGGGCCAUCGCUCAACGGAUAAAAGCUACCCCGGGGAUAACAGGCUUAUCUCCCCCAAGAGUUCACAUCGACGGGGAGGUUUGGCACCUCGAUGUCGGCUCAUCGCAUCCUGGGGCUGUAGUCGGUCCCAAGGGUUGGGCUGUUCGCCCAUUAAAGCGGUACGCGAGCUGGGUUCAGAACGUCGUGAGACAGUUCGGUCCCUAUCCGUCGUGGGCGUAGGAAAUUUGAGAGGAGCUGUCCUUAGUACGAGAGGACCGGGAUGGACAUACCUCUGGUGUACCAGUUGUCGUGCCAACGGCAUAGCUGGGUAGCUAUGUGUGGACGGGAUAAGUGCUGAAAGCAUCUAAGCAUGAAGCCCCCCUCAAGAUGAGAUUUCCCAACUUCGGUUAUAAGAUCCCUCAAAGAUGAUGAGGUUAAUAGGUUCGAGGUGGAAGCAUGGUGACAUGUGGAGCUGACGAAUACUAAUCGAUCGAAGACUUAAUCAA
rnacentral:rRNA from 1 species